GAAUGUCAAAUUUCUAGUAUGAGAAAUAAACGAUUUAAGUCCUUCUUAAAUGAGGCCAUUUACCCAUAGAGGGUGCCAGGCCCGUAUAACGUUAAUGAUUACUAGAUGGCAUUUCCAAAGAGUCGUGUUGCUUGAUAGUGCAGCACUAAGUGGGUGGUAAACUCCAUCUAAAACUAAAUAUAACCAUGAGACCGAUAGUAAACAAGUACCGUGAGGGAAAGUUGAAAAGAACUCUGAAUAGAGAGUUAAAUAGUACGUGAAACUGCUUAGAGGUUAAGCCCGAUGAACCUGAAUAUCCGUUAUGGAAAAUUCAUCAUUAUGAUUUUAAUAUAUUAUGAUAAUGGUGUGCAUUUUUUCUAUAGAGGACAUUGUAAUCCAUUAACAAUUUAUCAAAAGAUCAGCGCUAGUUUAUUCAAAUUAUUUUGCGCAAUUUAACAUAGGAUAAAUGCUUUUGAUUUGAUAAAGUGUUGAUGGAUUUAAUAUAUAGUGCUGGAAAUAUUCUAUAAUAGCAUAUUAAUUAAUAAUUUUUAUGUUUAUUAUAUGCACUUGUAUGAUUAACAAUGCGAAAGAUUCAGGAUACCUUCGGGACCCGUCUUGAAACACGGACCAAGGAGUCUAACAUAUUUGCAAGUUAUUGGGAAAAACCUAAUAGCGAAAUUAACAUAACUUAUGGGAUUAGUUUUUAGCCUAGUCUAUUAAUUCAAUCCCGGGGCGUUCUAUACAGUUAUGUAUAAUAAUAUUUAUAUUAUUUAUACCUCUAACUAGAGCGUACCUUGAGCAUAUAUGCUGUGACCCGAAAGAUGGUGAACUAUACUUGAUCAGGUUGAAGUCAGGGGAAA
rnacentral:rRNA from 1 species